AAGGGUAUUAGCAAGAAGAGAUUAUUAAGAAUUAGAUAACUGCAGGAGCCAAGAUAGUGAUGGUGUAUACAAGGUCGUGAGGGUGAUGUUUGCGCCACUAGACUGUCAAUGCAGCACUAAGGUUGAGAUAAAACACAGGCGACAUAACGUCAUCCUCGUGAUCCUGAGGUGAGGAGGGAGGGACUGCGGUGCUGACAACAAAGGCGAUGGCGUAGAGAAGCGACGAGGUUGUUUACGCCGCGAGAUAUCAGUGCAGCACUUUGAUGGACGUAAAACAAAGAGGACGUGCGACAGUGGCCUUAACUCAGGAGCGUGUCAGCAACGAUCUUUUCUCUGGCAGCAGUGACUAGAGCCGGCAGUGAGGCAGAGGGAAGCCCGUUAUUGUGAGACCAAAAGCCGCAUCAACAAACGCACUAGUGUCUUACUUCCAUUACUUUUAACAGGUUCAGGAGGGAGUUACAGGGAAUUCUCAAGUGAUAGUUUAACAAGAAUUCUGCGUCAUCAAUGGAAGGAAAAAAACAACAACAACAAAAAAAACAAAAAAAACACUUGACUAAUCAUAUCAGUGGCCCCUGAAAACAUUGCUAAUGAGAGCCUGAAGUGUUUCAAAUCCGGGAACGAGAACCUGUGCUAUCGUCAGUAUUAAGAUAAAGUGUUCAGCAGCAGACGACACACACAACAUUCAGCAGAUCCCGGGAACGUACUUCUACAAGAGAAAGGAAGAAUCUUGGUGACCAGCAGUACUACUCACCCCCACGAGCGUGCAGGCCAUGUAGGCGAACCCAAUCACGACGGAGGGGUUCCCGAAGCUCCUGCGGUAAGGAUUGACGGAGGAGAAGAACACGAAGACCACCACAAAGGUAAGGAGAAACUCCAGACCCAGGCCCUGCCACUGGGUGAUGACUUGUGACACCGAGGUGGCUCCCAGGUCGCCCGUGUAACCAGAUGACGUCGCCCUGAAGGAGAAAGACAAACUUUGAGUACAGCACGUGUAUACUUCCAGACGUGAGAUACUGAGUCACAAAGAUAACAACCCUGUCAUCACUUUCUCUCAACAAGCGACGCACUUCUUCCCGGCACAAAACGACCGUACCAGAGUGAGUAUCAUCUACCUGUACUGUCGUCUUGCUCCUGUACGAGUACACAUCAACACCACGCGGACUACCAGAGAAUUGCCGAGGUGAAGUGGGAAGGAAGACAUGCACAAUUCACUCCGGCUCUCCAACAUGCAUGGGCGGCGAAGCGAUGACCGAACCCUUGCCGUGGUCACCUGCAGCCUGGCGAGCAGUCCAUCUGUUUUAGGAUGAAGAGAAUGACGUCACUCAAUCGCCCACGUGAACCUCGACCCACCUGGAACUCCCCGGGACAAAGAGAGCUGGUGUUUUCAUGACCACGCGCCACGCCACAGCCAUCAGCACACAGCAAGGAUAUGACUCGAGGAACACCAACGUUGAUACAUUAAAGAACGCAAGACAGUACCUUGAGUGAGUGGACUAGCCAGCCAGCCAGCCAGCCAGUCAAGCCAACACUCAGUCACCAAGCUGCAGUGAGAGGACAGACAGACAAUCCCUGACCAUGAAUACCUUCCCUAACACACACGCUGCUAUUUCCUGCCUCCUGACAAAUGAGAGAGAGAGGAAAGGAAGGAUGACACCGAUUCACCACCACUACAACCACUGCCUCCUCCGCCAACACCAGCUCAAUCAAUCCCUUUCCCUGUCGUCUCCUACACCUUACAUCCCCCUCGCUAAACGUCACCCCAUGCAGUCCAGGAGUCAUUCUUCACCUCAUCUCCAACCUACACCCUCCUCUUCUUCCUCCUCCUCCGCCUUGUAUCGCCUAUAGAAAGCGCACUGCUCACACACGUCUCCGCCUAUUCACAGCUACUGACGGAAAUAACAUCCUUAAUAAUGGAUGAAUUCAAGACGAGGUGGGCUCUCCGGUCCCUUCCUCAAGCCCUCUGUCCCUCUCCCUCCCUCUCUUCCCCUCCCUUUCUUUCUUUCUCCUUCUCGUGGCAGUCUUUCAGCGCGGAUCGUCACCGUUUUGGCCGCCUGCAGCUAAGAUACCAAGCUUUAGGGCGGCUUAGUGACUGCGAGAUGAAGAGAUGGAGACGGAAAAGGGGUGAGCGAGAGACCGAGAUCGAGAGAGAGAGAGAGAGAGAGAGAGAGAGAGAGAGAGAGAGAGAGAGAGAGAGAGAGAGAGAGAGAGAGAGAGAGAGAGAAACAAUGACAGAUGCGAAUGAAGUAAAGAAAGUGAAACAAAGUCAAUUAACAGGAAGGGUGUGAGCGAAGAAUAAUAAGGGAGAAGAGAAAAGAAAAACAAUGUGUUUCCUUUUUUUUUCCCCGUGUGUGGAAGGAAAGCAAUUAAGUCGACAAGGUUGGGUGUGUGUGUGUGUGUGUGUGUGUGUGUGUGUGUGUGUGUGUGUGUGUGUGUGUGUGUGUGUGUGUGUGUGUGUGUGUGUGUGUGUGUGUGUGUGUGUGUGUGUGUGUGUGUGGUUUGCAAUCCCCUUCCCCCUGUUCCUUUCAGUGUGGUGGAUUUAAACUUACUCCCCUCCCGUAACUCCUCCUCGUCACUUGAAGGCCUUUCAUUAUUUUUUUUUCGACCAUCUCUUGUUCGUCACCCAAACCAAGACAUUUCCUAGUUGUCUGCUCAAUACUCCUCUCUCUCUCUCUCUCUCUCUCUCUCUCUCUCUUGGAUCAAUGCUUCUUGGCAACACCAUUUAAUUAUUUUCAAAGGAGUCUUAAAGGACCAAUAAGGUAUCAAACAUCAAUAAAAGUAUCACUAUUCUUUGUUUAUAUCUAUCUGUCUUUGUUUAUAUCUCUCUGUCUGUCUCAUGGAUACUUCCAACAUUUAUUUACCGCCCAGCACUUUAAACACACAAGAUAUUCUCAUUUUUCAACUCCCAACAGCAGCAGCAGGAUGAGCUUCCUUUGUAUUCUCCUGUCGUUUAUUUUAAUCUUUUCUCUCCCUUUACUUCUGUAUUGUUUUUAUUUUCUUUUUACCUCUCAUGUUUCGUUAAGCUUCUGUCACCCGCUUUGUCUCUUCCUCCCUGAUGAGCGUCACGUCUCGCUGCCUUCAAAGCGCUCGUACUGUUACACUUGUUUCACAGCGACGUGCCUGUCUGCCUACAGCGGGAGUUGAGAGUGGGCAGACUUGCCAAAACUAUCUGGAUGUUAUAGAUGGAUGGGUAAAUAGGAAGGUAGGUAGGUAAAGGGUAUUGUACGAGUAGGUAGGUGUAGGUAGGUAGGUAGGUAGGUAUGGGUAAAUGGAUGGACGGAUGGAUGGAUGGAUGGAUGGAUGAAUGAAUAGAUAUUUCACUGACCACAAACGAACUGAGAAAUAAAAAGAUGCAGAUGAAAUAGCUGAAUUGCCGUUAUGUUCCUAUGAAAUCAGAAAACUCGGUCAUAACACUGAUCUUCCACAUAAAAUCAUCUUUCAUGAAAUAAUAAAACGAUGAUAUUCAAAGCACUAUAAAUACUGACAUGGAAGCAAAACGUGACGAAGAAAGACCUAAUCGAAGUGAAGGGUUGACAAACAGCCUGAAUUUACGAACACUGAGGCUCUAUUACAAACACCACAGAAUUUUUUCGUACAGUCAUUGAAGUGGAAACCUGCAAAUAAUGAUUAUAUUACAGGAAAAUGUUUGUUCAUCGCGAGCACUGAAGUAUGAAAACUGAUUUCAUUAACUGUUGUAUCUUUGUAACGAUUCCAGGAAGGUUACGUUCACUAAAAGAGCGUCCAUAUGAAAAACAGUCUGAUGUACUCUGAAUGAUGUUGUAGUGAUCUCAGGAUUCCUUGAUUUCCUUUCUAGUGGAUAUAAUUACGUUAGCGGCGCGUCUCUCCAGAACACCAUUCACGACGGCUGGAAUUCAGGUAGGCCCUUCUUAGGUAAAGGGUUCUUAAUUUGAUGUCUGGUCGAUGUCUUCUGUAUAUAAAUGAUGUAGCACACUUUUCGGAUCCCAUGCCUGACUUGUUUCCUACUAAAUGUACGAGAAAGCGGCGCAUCUUUGUCACUAUUUGGAAGACGCUUGUUCGCUAUCAGAUUAAAAUUUACUAAGUAGUCGA